UAAUACGGAGGGUGCAAGCGUUAAUCGGAAUAACUGGGCGUAAAGCGCACGCAGGCGGUUAGAUAAGUCAGAUGUGAAAGCCCCGGGCUCAACCUGGGAACUGCAUUUGAAACUGUCUGACUAGAGUCUUGUAGAGGGGGGUAGAAUUCCAGGUGUAGCGGUGAAAUGCGUAGAGAUCUGGAGGAAUACCGGUGGCGAAGGCGGCCCCCUGGACAGAGACUGACGCUCAGGUGCGAAAGCGUGGGGAGCAAACAGGAUUAGAUACCCUGGUAGUCCACGCCGUAAACGAUGUCAACUUGGAGUCUGUGCCAUUGAGCGUGGGCUCCGAAGCUAACGCGAUAAGUUGACCGCCUGGGGAGUACGGCCGCAAGGUUAAAACUCAAAUGAAUUGACGG
rnacentral:rRNA from 1 species